rnacentral:rRNA from 1 species
GACGAACGCUGGCGGCGUGCUUAACACAUGCGAGUCGAACGGAAAGGCCCUGCUUUUGUGGGGUGCUCGAGUGGCGAACGGGUGAGUAACACGUGAGUAGCCUGCCCUUGACUUUGGGAUAACUUCAGGAAACUGGGGCUAAUACCGGAUAGGAGCUCCUGCUGCAUGGUGGGGGUUGGAAAGUUUCGGCGGUUGGGGAUGGACUCGCGGCUUAUCAGCUUGUUGGUGGGGUAGUGGCUUACCAAGGCUUUGACGGGUAGCCGGCCUGGGAGGGUGACCGGCCACAUUGGGACUGAGAUACGGCCCAGACUCCUACGGGAGGCAGCAGUGGGGAAUAUUGCACAAUGGGCGGAAGCCUGAUGCAGCAACGCCGCGUGCGGGAUGACGGCCUUCGGGUUGUAAACCGCUUUCGCCUGUGACGAAGCGUGAGUGACGGUAAUGGGUAAAGAAGCACCGGCUAACUACGUG